CUGAAAUUCUCGUAUUUCUUUUCGCAUACUAGUUUUAUCAAGAGACAUGAAUAAUAGUAUUUUUAAUCUGUUAAUUUCAGAAAUAUUUGAAGUACUUUUUAAUCGAUAGAUUUUUUCAUAAUAGUAUCUUAAUUUUUUUAUAUCUCUGUUAAGAGCUUCUAUGCUUGUUUUGAUUUCCCAAAAUUUUUUUUUAAGAUUCUUUAAUGGUGAUUGUACCACUCUCAUGAUGAUAAAGAUAGAUAAUUAUGAUUUUAAUAUUCCCUAUAGGUACUUAGUAACUAUAAUAUGUAUGAGUGCAUAAGGUAGGUAUGAAGAUAAAUUUUUCUUAUAUUAAUAUGUUCAUGAAAUGAUAGAGUUUAUAUGUACACCUUUUAACUUUCUUUUAUAUUGAUUGUAUCAACACCGCAGUGUUUCUUCUUCCGGCUAUAAAGAUCUAUUUAGCCUAUUGCAACUCACUGUCUCAGGCUAUUGUGUUGGUCUUCCUCUGUUGAGGCUGAAGAUCGAAAUCUUGAUUUAUCACCAACAUAUAGAAAUGACAAAAGAUAUAGAAAAAAAACUUUUUAUUUCAUGAAUAUAUUACAACAUAGGAAAGAUCUUUAAUCAGAUCUUCCUUAUACUCGCACAUAAACUAUUUGUUACUUUUUCCUAACGAGAGAAGUUUUUCUUACUCACACAUAUAGAAGAUACCUAGCAUUUUCUAUGAAAGAAAUAUUAGAGAAAUGUAGUCUACCUUCUAUGAAUUUCUAUCUCUCCUUUUAUAGACA
rnacentral:lncRNA from 1 species